AGUGAACGCUGGCGGUAGGCCUAACACAUGCAAGUCGAACGGCAGCACAGUAAGAGCUUGCUCUUACGGGUGGCGAGUGGCGGACGGGUGAGGCAUACAUCGGAAUCUACUUUUUCGUGGGGGACAACGUGGGGCAACUUACGCUAAUACCGCAUACGACCUACGGGUGAAAGCAGGGGAUCUUCGGACCUUGCGUGAUUGAAUGAGCCGAUGUCGGAUUAGCUAGUUGGCGGGGUAAAGGCACACCAAGGCGACGAUCCGUAGCUGGUCUGAGAGGAUGAUCAGCCACACUGGAACUGAGACACGGUCCAGACUCCUACGGGAGGCAGCAGUGGGGAAUAUUGGACAAUGGGCGCAAGCCUGAUCCAGCCAUACCGCGUGAGUGAAGAAGGCCUUCGGGUUGUAAAGCCCUUUUGUUGGGAAAGAAAAGCAGCAGGUUAAUACCCCGCUGUUCUGACGGUACCCAAAGAAUAAGCACCGGCUAACUUCGUG
rnacentral:rRNA from 1 species